rnacentral:tRNA from 2 species
GGAGAGGUGGCUGAGCGGUUGAAAGCGACAGUCUUGAAAACUGUUGGGCCAGCAAUGGUCCCGGGAGUUCGAAUCUCCCCCUCUCCGCCA